rnacentral:lncRNA from 1 species
UUUCAGAUGCUCUCAUAUUCUCUCCUCUCUCAAACCUAACCCUAGACUCCAUAAAUCACCUCCUUCUCUGACCAUCUCCGGCUACGUCCUCUCAACCCCAAGCCUCCAAUGGCUGUCUCAUCGCCUUGCUCAAUAUCCCUAAGGACCUCAAGGGUCCUGGGCCAUGUCGAUUUGGAGUUAGGGUUUCUGAUUCUGUUGUUCGAGGCUUCUCUGGUGUGAUUUUGGGCAAAAUCACACCAUAUUUGUUACAAUUUUUGAAGUAUCAACAGGUUCUUUCAACUUCUAUUUGGGUUUCCUUUUGAAACCCUAACUCUUUCCUGAAUCCCUCAGAACGGUGUUAUUUUUAUGCUUUAAGCGUGUUUUCUUCUAUGAUCUACUUAUUCUCGAGCUUCUUCUGAAGACCAUCUACUUUGAACCAUUUUUACUUUCUUUGAAAAAUUAGAGUUUCUUUUAGUUCUUUUACGCAUGUUCUAACCGAUUUCUCUAUGAUUAAACCUUUUCCUUGUUUAUUUUGACCGAUUUUAUGUUCCUAAUGCUUUUUAACUUGGCUCUGCUAAAAGCCGUAAUUUAUAAAGAUUUUCUUCGCUUUGGUUAUGUGCGUUUAGCUUGCUUUUCUUUGCCUUGGUUCUGUGUGUUGGCAUGAUUUUUUUGCUUUAAUUAUGUGUGUUAGCCUAAUUUUCUUUGCCUUGGUUCUGUGUGUUAACAUGAAUUUCUUUGCCUUGGUUCUGUGUGCUAGCCUGUUUACCUGAUUUUUGUUAAGGUCUCGUGGUCACCUGGCCUCAAAUAUGUUCUGCUGAAUCUUAGCCUAUUUAUACCACAUCUGAAUGAUUGUGUUUGCUCAUUUCUUAUUUUUUCUAUCUAUAUGGCUGACUUUGUUUACUACUCUUGUUCAUCCACCUCUAUUUAUAUGUUGAAAAUACAGAACCAUGACUUCCCAUGAUUGAUUCUGAUUUUUCUUAAUCGUUGAUAAUUGAAAGAUUUUCUUUCAAAGCCCUAGAAUUCUACUUGUCUAUUUAAAUUAAUUGAUUUCAUUACCUUAUCUGCAAUGGUACCUUGUUUUACUAAGAUUUUCCUUAAUUGGAUUUUUUCUUAAUUUAGCCCUAAUUGACUACUCUAUGCCUACUGAACCUUGACUCCUUCCUUCUUUAAUCAUGC